rnacentral:rRNA from 1 species
CGUGAAACCGUUUAGGGGUAAACCUGAGAAACCCGAAAGGUCGAAGGGAGAAAUUCAUUCGCGUUUCGCCGUUGGCGUGAGACGGUCGUGUGACGGAGGACGUUCGCGUUUUCCGCGCCUUCCGUUUUUCGAUCCGAUAGCGAACGCGUGCACUUUUCUCCUGGUAGGACGUCGCGAUCCGUUGGGUGUCGGUCUACGGCUCGCGGUGGAGCCCGGACGUACGGCUUGCCGUCACGUUCGGACCCGCGUGUCCCGGCUGACUCGCUCGACGGUAUACGAAAGGUUUAAGGCCGCUCUUAGAGCGUUCGGCUCGCUGCAAGCGCGUCAGAUGUGUCGGCGAUCGGACCUAGUGCCGGUUCUGACCUCUGGCGACUGUUGGCCGCGAAGUUCUCGAACAGACCUUCAAACCGAUCUGCGACGCUAUAGCUUUGGGUACUUUCAGGACCCGUCUUGAAACACGGACCAAGGAGUCUAGCAUGUGCGCGAGUCAUUGGGAAUCACUAAACCUAAAGGCGCAAUGAAAGUAAAGGUCCGCCUCGCGCGGACUGAGGGAGGACGGGCGGUUUACCCUUAAAAGUGGCCGCUCCGCACUCCCGGGGCGUCUCAUUCUCAUCGCGAGAAGAGGCGCACCAAGAGCGUACACGCUGGGACCCGAAAGAUGGUGAACUAUGCCUGGUCAGGACGAAGUCAGGGGAAACCCUGAUGGAGGUCCGUAGCGAUUCUGACGUGCAAAUCGAUCGUCGGAACUGGGUAUAGGGGCGAAAGACUAAUCGAACCAUCUAGUA